rnacentral:pre_miRNA from 1 species
UAUGACACUGAAGCGUAACCGAACACCAUAUUUUGAGAUUCUGCUACGCGCAGUGCCAUGCU